CCAGACUCCUACGGGAGGCAGCAGUGAGGAAUAUUGGUCAAUGGACGAGAGUCUGAACCAGCCAAGUAGCGUGAAGGAUGACUGCCCUAUGGGUUGUAAACUUCUUUUAUAAAGGAAUAAAACGAGGCACGUGUGCCUUUUUGCAUGUACUUUAUGAAUAAGGAUCGGCUAACUCCGUGCCAGCAGCCGCGGUAAAACGUAGGGGGCGAGCGUUGUCCGGAAUGACUGGGCGUAAAGGGUGCGUAGGCGGCAUAAUAAGUUAGAAGUGAAAUACCCAGAGCUUAACUCGGGUGCUGCUUCUAAGACUGUUGAGCUUGAGUGCGGGAGAGGUUAAUGGAAUUCCUAGUGUAGCGGUGGAAUGCGUAGAUAUUAGGAGGAACACCAGAGGCGAAGGCGAUUAACUGGACCGUAACUGACGCUGAGGCACGAAAGUGUGGGUAGCAAACAGGAUUAGAUACCCCGGUACG
rnacentral:rRNA from 1 species